GCUUGUCUCAAAGAUUAAGCCAUGCACGUCUGAGAAUAAAGAGUUUUCUCUGAAUCUGCGAAUGGCUCAUUAUAUCAGUUAUAGUUUAUUUGAUAGUCCUUUACUACUUGGAUACCCGUAGUAAUUCUAGAGCUAAUACAUGCAUAAAGUCCCGACUUCUGGAAGGGAUGUAUUUAUUAGAUUGAAACCAAUUCGCUUUCGGGCGGUAUUGUGGUGAAUCAUAAUAACUUAUCGGAUCGCAGCGGAGUAAUCCGGCGAUGAAUCAUUCAAGUUUCUGCCCUAUCAGCUUUCGAUGGUAGUGUAUUGGACUACCAUGGCGGUAACGGGUAACGAAGAAUAAGGGUUCGAUUUCGGAGAGGGAGCCUGAGAGACGGCUACCACAUCCAAGGAAGGCAGCA
rnacentral:rRNA from 1 species